rnacentral:ncRNA from 1 species
UCUUAUCAAGAGUGGUGGAGGGACUGGCCCUAUGAAACCCGGCAACCAGUAUACGAUUUUUGUAUAUAAUGGUGCUAAAUCCUGCAGUGCAAGCUGAAAGAUGAGG